UAUGAGUUUGGGUUUUUUAGGUUUCAUAUAUAAGUAAUAUUAUACAUUCCUUGUCUUUCUCUGAUUUCUUUCACUUAGCAUGAUGUCCUCAAGGUCCAUCCAUGUUGUUGCAAAUGUACCUUGGAUAUAUCAUCCCACUGUCUCCUGGCCUAUAAAAUUUCUGCUGAGAAAUCCACUGACAACCUUAUGGAGGUUCCCUUGUGGAUUAAAGCUCAAGUUUGUGGUCUCUCCCUGAACCAAGAUUUGGGCUGGCACAGGUUUUUGUGUGUGCUCACCAGCCAUCUGCCAAAGUUUGCUCUCACCAUUGCCAUUUGGAGCAUGAACAGGGAGCUGUCCACAGGGUGUGAGCGUGUGUGGGGGUUCCCAGACUGUAGCCAUGAGGGGCCAGAGUUGUUUCACAGGCCACUAUGGGGCCCAAAGCCAGAACUGAGGUCUGUAUGCCUGUUACCUGAUGCACAGUUGGGUGAGAUGCCCCUCAGUUUCCUUGGCGAAUGGUGCUGCUCCCACAGUUCCCCACAAAGGUACUUUUGUCUGCAGAUGGAUGUCUAAUUGCUGUUGUUAAG